rnacentral:ncRNA from 1 species
CCCGGGGCCGGUCGGCCCCGGGGUUCGGCUGACGCCGGUACCUGACACGGCCGGCGCAG